rnacentral:rRNA from 1 species
AGCGAACGUUUGCGGCGGGCCUAACACAUGCAAGUCGAACGGGCAGUCCCUUCGGGGGCUGUCAGUGGCGCACGGGUGCGUAACACGUAGGUAAUCAACCCUCGGGUUCGGGAUAACACUUCGAAAGGGGUGCUAAUACCGGAUGCGACGAGCGUCUCCUCGGAGAUGCACGGGAAAGAUCCGCAAGGGUCGCCCGAGGACGAGCCUGCGGCCCAUCAGCUUGUUGGUGAGGUAAUGGCUCACCAAGGCUAAGACGGGUAGCCUGGUCUGAGAGGAUGAUCAGUCACACUGGAACUGAGACACGGUCCAGACUCCUACGGGAGGCAGCAGUGGGGAAUAUUGCGCAAUGGGCGAAAGCCUGACGCAGCCACGCCGCGUGAGCGAUGAAGGCCU